AUAAAUACAAAAUACCACAUGAAUCCUUCCAUUUCCCGUAGUUCUUGUCUUGGUUUCUUCUACAGUUUUUUCAGUGAGGAAUUCCCUGAAACUGUUCUCAGGGGGACUCCAUCGUCGAUAUGGUUGCCAUGAAGCUGCAUGCUUUAGUAAUGGCAGCUUUCAUGUUUUCAGUCCCUGGAAACAUGGGCCGAGACCAGAUCAUGGCAGAUUUACCCCAACAAACAUACCAUAGGAUGAGCAAAGGCAGGACUGUGGAUGAAGUUGUGGCUUGCCUUUUGCUUCUUGUUGCUCUUGUUGGUUCAUACCUUUUACAUUGAUGUGGCUUCUUGGCAUUCGAGUAUCUAGGACACUUUUUCUUUUUUCUCUUGGUAUAUUAGGGACAUCCCUUCAUGUUCUGUUCAUGAUUGCAAAUUUCUGGAGAUUUAUUGUCCUCCAAACUAGUGUUGAACCAUGUGCCAUGCCCAUGAGAUGGAGAUUUUUAUUUGCUAAAUCGCGUGUUUGGGGGGUUUUAGGGUCGCGAUAAGUCCCUUCAGACGUUUUCAUUGGCCCUUUUUUGAUUGAUUCUUAUUGAGGAUCCGAUGCUACGGCUAUGUUCUCCUCUAAUUCGUCAUUUUUCUUUCUAAAUUACUGUAUUACUGAAUGAGUAGCAUUAUUUUGUUCUGGUUGGAGCCAAGUCUGCAAGUUGCUCCCACUUAUCAGAGAAUAUUUUUACCACUAACUUAUGUACCUUUGGCAGAUCAGUUAAUUGCAUGGGGUGUUUUGUUUA